GGAAUACUGGGCGUAAAGCGUGCGCAGGCGGUUUGUUAAGUCAGAUGUGAAAGCCCCGGGCUUAACCUGGGAACUGCGUUUGAAACUGGCAAGCUAGAGUCUGUCAGAGGGGGGUAGAAUUCCACGUGUAGCAGUGAAAUGCGUAGAGAUGUGGAGGAAUACCGAUGGCGAAGGCAGCCCCCUGGGAUAAGACUGACGCUCAUGCACGAAAGCGUGGGGAGCAAACAGGAUUAGAUACCCUGGUAGUCCACGCCCUAAACGAUGUCGACUGGUUGUUGGGCAACUUGAUUGUUCAGUAACGAAGCUAACGCGAGAAGUCGACCGCCUGGGGAGUACGGUCGCAAGAUUAAAACUCAAAGGAAUUGACGGGGACCCGCACAAGCGGUGGAUGAUGUGGAUUAAUUCGAUGCAACGCGAAAAACCUUACCUACCCUUGACAUGUACGGAAUCCUGCUGAGAGGUGGGAGUGCCUGAAAGGGAACCGUUACACAGGUUCUGCAUGGCUGUCGUCAGGUCGUGUCGUGAGAUGUUGGGUUAAGUCCCGCAACGAGCGCAACCCUUGUCAUUAAUUGCCAUCAUUUAGUUGGGCACUUUAAUGAGACUGCCGGUGACAAACCGGAGGAAGGUGGGGAUGACGUCAAGUCCUCAUGGCCCUUAUGGGUAGGGCUUCACACGUCAUACAAUGGCCGGUACAGAGGGUUGCCAACCCGCGAGGGGGAGCCAAUCCCAGAAAGCCGGUCGUAGUCCGGAUUGUUCUCUGCAACUCGAGAGCAUGAAGUCGGAAUCGCUAGUAAUCGCGGAUCAGCAUGUCCGGUGAAUACGUUCC
rnacentral:rRNA from 1 species